AGCAGCCGCGGUAAUUCCAGCUCCAAUAGCGUAUAUUAAAGUUGUUGCAGUUAAAAAGCUCGUAGUCGAAUUUCGGGAUCAAGGAAUCGGUCAUGCCUCGGUAUGUACUGGUUUUAUUGGUUCUCACCUUCUAAAGAACCAUAAUGUCAUUCAUUUGAUGUUAUGGGGAAUUAGGACUGUUACCUUGAAAAAUUAGAGUGUUUAAAGCAGGCUCGCGCUUGAAUACAUUAGCAUGGAAUAAUGAAAUAGGACGUUUGACCCUAUUUUGUUGGUUUCUAGGAUCGACGUAAUGAUUAAUAGGGAUAGUUGGGGGCAUUAGUAUUCAAUUGUCAGAGGUGAAAUUCUUGGAUUUAUUGAAGACUAACUACUGCGAAAGCAUUUGCCAAGGAUGUUUUCAUUAAUCAAGAACGAAAGUUAGGGGAUCGAAGACGAUCAGAUACCGUCGUAGUCUUAACCAUAAACUAUGCCGACUAGGGAUCGGAUGAUGUUAAUUUUUUAAUGUACUCA
rnacentral:rRNA from 1 species